ensembl:lncRNA
GCAGGAGCAAAGACAGGCUCAGAGGUGGGGUGGGGCGGGCCUGAGCUCACGCAGGUUUUCCCGGAGAAACCCCUGGGAAGGUUUGCUGAGAACAUCACUCAGCUCUUGGAAGCCAGGCUGAGGUGCUUAGGAGUUUGAUGAAGUUGAUGCUUCCCAGAGUAUUCAAGUUGGGAUUUUCACCUCAAGAUAGAGAUACCCGAGUGAUGAUACGUGAGGCUGAGACAGUCCGAGAUCUGCCCCAGGUUUCCGGACCUAGGGAGGGACCUAACUGCUCCAGCUCCCAGCUUGCUCCAGGCUGCCAUGAGGAACCAUCAGCCCUCAGAGCCCAGACACGACAGUGCCAUCCUACCACCAGCUCCACUCAAGCUCCUGCCCUGGAUAAUCUCCUCUGGCUUUCUGUCUGAUGGCUGGGGUCCCACUACCCUUGGAAUAACCUUCAGAUAACAACGUUUCCCCAUGUCCUGACCAGAUUAGUCUGGGAACCUCAGUGAAAUGACUCUGAGAUCAGGACAAUAAUGGGCUUGGCUAUGGGCGGCUGUCCCAGCAGAGGCUGGGACAGUGAGGCAGGGGUUGACAGGCUCCAAGUGAGAUAUGGAAAGAAACAAACAUGCAUAAAGAUUGAUUUCUCAAUAAUUUCUCCGUAGGAGUUCUCCCUUCUGAGGCUGGACUGGGAGUUUGGGAUUAGCAGAUAUAAACUAUCACAUAUAGGAUGGAUAACAACAAGCUCCUACUCGGAGUUCCUGUCAUGGCACAGUGGUUAAUGAAUCCGACUAGGAACCAUGAGGUUGCGGGUUCGAUCCCUGGCCUCACUCAGUGGGUUAAGGAUCCGGUGUUGCCAUGAGCUGUGGUGUAGGUUGCAGACGUGGCUCAGCUCCCGCGUUGCUCUGGCUCUGGUGUAGGCCGGCAGCUACAGCUCCGAUUGGACCCUUAGCCUGGGAACCUCCAUAUGCCACGAGAGCGGCCCAAGAAAUGGCAAAAAGACAUAAAAAAAACAAAACAAAACAAAAAAAACCAAGGUCCUACUCGAUAGCACAGGGAACCACAUUCAAUGUCCUGUGAUAAACCAUAAUGGAAAGGAAUACAAGAACUAUAUUGUAAAUUUCUUAUAUAUAUAAUUUAUGUAUAAAUUUCUUAUAUAUGUAAGAAUGUAUAAAUUAUAUAUAAUUAUAUAAAUUUCCUAUAUAUAUAAAUUAAAAAAUAUAUAUUUUUACACAUAUUGGUCCUAGGCCAACUAAACAAAGCCUGUUCCUUUAGCAAGUCCUCCAAUGGAUGGUCCCCAGUGGAAGGCCUUGCUGAUACCCGCUGUCGCUCUAAUGAGGGGCUUAGGGCUGGCCACCGUGGUGUCAGAUACAUACACACACACACACAUAUAUACAUAUAUAUACACACAUAUGCAUAUAUAUA